ensembl:lncRNA
CACACACUAUGUAACCCCCCCGCCCACCAUCAGCUUCCUACCUUGUGUCGGAUCCAGGCCUCCACCUCCUCCACCUUCUGCAGGAACUCCAGGAAGUCCCGGUUGUCUUCCAGAGCUUUCCCUCGGCUGGCUAAGGCCUUCUUCAGCUCCUCCCAGUGGAGCUGCAGGGCGGCCGCGCUCCUCUUCACCUCCUUGGACCUCUGGUGGCGAAGGGAGACCAGCUCCUCCCCGGCCUGCAAGGAGGAGGGCGUCUCAUAUGUUUGAGGAAGGACUCCCAGAUGUCUGAAGCAGCAGGCGUCAGAGGUUCCUCCUGAAGGAGAAGGUCUCGUCUCACCUGCAGCACGGCACCAAUGAUCUCUUCGUGAGCCAGGAUCUCCGCCUCGAACACCUGGUGUUUCUGCAGAAGCUUCAUCUUGGCCCGCAGAUCAGUGAGGUCGGCUUUACUUUCCUCCGCCAUCUUCUGCAUCCGCUCUGAGACCCACCCCUCGGCCUGGUGGGGGGAGACCACUUUAAUCGCAGAGACGUCGAAGCGGCAGGAAUAAUCUUGUUCUUUGGCUUCAAUCUGCUCUCAAACCGUAUUUGACUCCAGAGUUCUUCUCUCUCUCUCUUUAAAAUCAACCAAUCAGUCCGUUACCUCGGCGACGUCCCGUCUGUAGACGCUCAGCGCCCUGGAGAGCUCCAGCUCCUCCCUGCGUUUGACAGACAGCUCCUUGAUCCGAUGGCGUCGCCGGAGGAGGGCCUUGAGUCGGGUCUGGACCCGCCCGCUCUUCUCAGCGCUCAGACGCUCCUUCAGCCGCUCGGCCAUCUCCUCCAGAGAGGACAGCUGGGGAGACAAAGGGGGAGGUCAGGUGGAUUAUACUAUAGGUGCUGGGGAAACGAGGAGGCCCAGCAGAAGAGCAGACCUUGUCCUCCUGCGAGCUGAGCAGCUUCUCGAAGGCCUCGUGGCGUUUGAUCAAACCCUCCGUCUCGCUCACCGCGUCGCCCAGAGUGCCGUUCUGCAGCAGGAACUGUAGGGGGAGGAGCAACCAGGCGAUCAAUCAGACAGGUCCUUCUGGGGGGCGGUGUGGGACCCGACAGGUGGGUGUUACCUCCUGAGAGCCGGAGGUCUUGUCCACGGCGUUGGCGUCCCGGUAGAAGACCUGCUCCAGGUGGACGCUCUCCAGCCAGCUCUUCUUCUGCUUCCACUGCUCCUCCAGCGUGCGGCGCUCCUCCCUCAGGGCCUCCAGCUUCUCCAGCACCUGGAGGAGGAAACGCCGCCAUGUUUAGGUGUUACCAAGGCAACAACAAACAGAGUUUCUGGGAUUUAUGGUCACAUGAUAGUUUCAUUGAGCAUCUGGUUUGAUUUGGUGUGUGAACGUUUUAUUUAAGUUCUUAAAGGAGACACAAAGAAUAAAAUGUUUUAAUGAAAUAUCACUUUUUAAACUGACACGAUGCGUUCAAGGACUCUUACCUCCUUCCUGUUGGUGUCCUGCGCCCGUAACUCCUCCCCCAUGCUCACGGCCUGCUGGUAGGUCUCCUCUCGGGCCUCCAUCUCCGCCCACAGCUGCUGGUGCUGCGCCAGCUGGAGGUUGGCGGCGGCCACGUCGCUGAUGCUCUCCUCGGCGGCCAUCGCCCCGAUCAGCUGGCCGCACCACAGGAAGUAGUCCUGCACCUGGGGGGGCCCACAAAGACACGCGAGGCGUAAAGGAAGUGUUUGCUGGGGUCUCCCAGUCCGUCCGUCCUCACCGUGUUCAGGAACAGGUAUCGCUGACACGCCACUUUAAGCUCCUCCUCCCUCUGCUCGGCGUGGAGUCGCAGCUCCUCCCACCGCUCCACCACUUCCUGCUGAACCUCCUGCAGGCGGAGCUUCAGCUGAGGCGUGCAGAGAUCCAGGAUGGAGUCCACGGUGUCAAGCUGCUCCUGCAACUGCACGCACAUCACUUGUUUUGGAGUCUUCCGUGGACAGGAAGUGAAUAAACAACAUGGAGAAACGCCGCGCCGCUACCUGCUGCUCCGUGGCUGCCAGCUCGUGGAGCAACGCUUCGUGCUUCCUCAGCUGUGACGUCACACCGCUCAGAUCCUUGGCCACGCCGUCGGGGAUGCUCUUCUGUCGUUCCUACAGGGGAGGAGGGAGGAGACAGUCUGAGGGGCUCCACCUGAGCAGGAGGUGACAUCUGGAGAGGAGACGCUGUACCUGGAUCAGGCUUCGGGCUUCGCUCAGGUCUCGGUAGAAGCGGUGACACUCUUCGGCUCUUUGCAGCCGGUCCCGCCGCUCGCUGGCCGCGCUCCUCAAGUCCUCCCAGCAUGCACUGCAAACAAAGGUCAGACAAGAAGCUCCAGAGAGCCUUGACUUCUUACGAACUUCACAUCUCCUCUGAGAACGAUCAUCUUCUGGAGGAGCAGGUCUCCUCCUCUCUGAGAUGUGAGUCUCUCUCUGAGGGAACACCUGUACCUUUGUUUACCUGAGCUGCUGCAGCGUCUCUCUGACCUCGGAGCUCUGGGGAUGCUUCUUGUGGAGCAGCGGAGCAGCAACAUCUCUGCAGCUCUGCUGGCGCUCCUCUCCGACCUCCAGCUGUUGGAAGAAACCUUCAAACUUCCCCCGAAGCAUCUGAAACGUAAUAAAGAGGAGUAUCAGGGUGGAUCUAUAUAGAUGUAUGUGUAUAUCUAGAUAGAUCUCUAUGGAUAUAGAGAUGUAACCUGGACGUGCUGGUGGUCGUUGCCCAGGUCCUGAGACUCCGCCCACUGUCUCUGCUGCUCCAUCCAGUCCUCAAACUCAGAGGACUCUCUUCUGAACUCGUGCAGAUGAAGCACCUCCUUUAACCUCUGACCCCUGAAAGGAGACACGGGUUAGUCAAGGCAUUGAUUGGAACUUCUCUAAGCCACCACCCUUUCAAAAUAAAAGUCCCAUAGUUUAGAUUAAUCGUGACGUGAAGCUCAAAUGGAGGCUUUUUUGAUUAAAUAUUUUAGCUUAUAAAUCACAGAGAAGAGGCAGUUUACAACUGCAGAACUCGUCCUUGUUACAGAGGACUUUUUAGUGCAGAGAGAUCCUAAAAUGUGAAAUACAGUUUGUGGCAUGGAGUACUUAUGGAACAUCGUGGAGUCCACCUGAGUGCCGCCUGCUGCUUAAGCUGCUGGUUCAGGCUGCCGAGGCGACCGUGAGGCCCACUGAGCUCCGAGAGGCUCCAGUUGUGAACAGCCUCCUCCACCUGGUCUCCCAGCUCCUCCACCUCCACCUCCAGCACCUCCAACUGGCCCUCCAGCACCUAUGACCCACAGGGGAAUUGCACACCGCAAUGAUCAAUUUUAAUGUUGAAAAACAAGGAUUAGGAUAAAAUUACAUCUUGGGGGUUCAAGUCUGUGCAGGAGAAAUAAAAAGAAAAUAAAGUGUUCAGGUUCACUGUGAGAAGGAGUUCCACUGGGCAGGAUCCGAGGUCCCCGCUAUUUCAGUUCCGUCAUUACAACUUCACACUUUAUAGUAGCCGAGUUUUGUACGGAACACAUUUUAAGUCUACGGUGUCCUCCUCUGUGCAUUGUGGUUGUCCACCAGCUGAUCUACAUGCCGUCCGUCUUGUAUUAUUCAAUACAGGUUUAAACAAAGCCGAAGUGUUGUGGUUGACCCCCCUCAGAGGGCGUGCUCUACCUGGUGCUUGGUGAGGAGGCUUCGCGUGGCCAGCUGGUCUUUGCCGUAGUCGGCGGUGGUCACCAGCGCGAGGGUCUCCGUCAGCCUGGACUCCAGCUCACAGCAGUCCAGCAGCAGCUGGAGACGGGUCACGUUCAGCACAAAAACCUUCUCCAAUAAAAAAGUCCGUCUCUCCGUCCCCCUCACCUGUUCUCUGGCGACGGCCUUGCUCAGGUGAGCCGCUCUCUUCCGGCAGGCCUCCUCUAGCUCCUCCCACUCUGCACUCAGGUGUUUGCACCUGCAAACCAAAAAAAUACAUCAUUUAUCGAGAAGGACGGAACAUCGCAACGGUAAAAGUGUCCCAAACGACACAACAGCACCUCUGGAGCACUUCUUCUUCGUCCGAUUGGCUGGACUUGGCCAAGCCCCGCCCCUUUUCCAUGACGAGGUUCAGGUGUUUUCGGUGGCCGUUCACCUCUGCCUGCAGCUCCUGUGAGAACACGUCCAAUGCAAGAAGGUUUAUAGCACAUGACGGAGAUACUUCACCCCCGUAGCGGUUGUGAGGUCAUGUGAUCAAUAACCAAUGACCUUGUGUUUCUGCAGGAGGCUGGUGGCUCCGGCCAGAGACUUGUCGUAUCCCGUGGAUCCCGAGGCGGGGACGUGUUCGGAGAUCCAGCUGAGCUCCAGGUCCACGUCGUGAUGGAAGCCAAACAGCAGCACCGAGGCCUCCAGCUGAGCCCGGCGCCGGUCCAGAGGCUUCUGGAGGGACUUGAACCUGCGGCAAACGGAUCCUCUUUCAUUUAUCUAAUUAAUGCGUAAAAUGAAGGAAAAAGGACCAGAAUCACGUUUUAACCCGGAGACCAAAAAAAAGGGUUUCAGGAUUUUUUUUUGGCUUCGAGGCUCAUUUUCCUCUCGGAGGUCUUGGUUUUCGCGUGCUGGUCCAUGGCAACAGGACCAUGACGACUGAGAGCAGAGAGAAGUCAAACACUCAGUCACAUGACUGUUGGUCUCUUUUUUAUGUUUUUAACAUUUAAAAAUUGAUAAUUAUGAGUUAACAAUUCUGCUGGUGGAAUUUCAGAGGAUUAAUCUCAUACGAUUUCUCGUUGACGGUUAAGAGAAGAGAAGAUUCAUCUGGAAACUCGUAACUUCUUCUGUCUGACAAUCAGGGUCGACGUGGCGAGUAGGGAGGGAGCGCCGGGAACCGCGAGGUUGGUGGUUUGAGCCCCGGCUGCUUCGUGUCCCAUGUGGAAGUGUCCCUGAGCAAGACACCAAACCCCUAACUGCUCCCCCCGUGUGUGGGGGGUAAAAUGUGGCUUUGGAUCCAAGCGUCAGCUAAGUGACCUGUGAUGUAAGUAACAAGUUGUACUUGUGCCAUUAGGGGGGAAAAGUGCAAUUAAUGUUAUACAUUAUUCAUCAGAACUGCUUCAUAUAUUCGUUUAUAUGACGUCACUGAAAAUUACUAGAAAGCUAACCUCCAACCCCAAAAAGGAUCAAAGCGUGUUGUUUGGAACCCAGACCUCUACACGUGUAAUAUGACAGAAUGCACAUGUAUAUAUAAGGGGGGGCGCUCACAGAGUGAGGUAGGCCUCCGUCUCCCGGAGGAUCCUCUGGGAGUCAAAGUGGGUGGAGGCGAGCAGCUUGGCCCGGCUCACGAUGGAGUUGAUCUUCUCCGCCAGGUCCUUGGCCUCCUGCUCCAGCUGCUGAUGCUCCUUUACAGAAGUUAUUGAUGCGUGAUAUUAUAUAUGUGUGUGUUGGUUUGAUCAGUCAGUACAUGUUUAUUUAACUGGCUGAAAUAUUUUCCACAUGUUAGUCAGGUAGACUCGACCCCCGCUGACCUUCAGGAGCUGCCGGCUGGAGCGGAGGUCGUGCCCCUUGGCGGCGUUGCUGAGCAUCCACUGGAUGGCCUCGAUCUUCAGCUUGGCAUCCUGAGGGAGGAACAGCGGCUGAGUACUCCGUUGGCCUCCAGGAGUUAGUCCUCACCCAGGUGUUGUUCGUACCUGCAGCAGCUCCAUCAGCUGCUCCUGCUGCCCCGCCUGCCUCAGUUUGUCUCCUCGGUCAGCCAUCUUGUCCUGAAGUUUCCUCCAGCGGCUGCUGACCAGAGUGGACUUCCUGCCGAUGCUCUGGCUGCCGUAGUGCUCUUGGGCCAGCAUCUCCCCCCCCCGCUGGACACCCGGCACGUGGUUAAAAGAGGUUCUGAGGGCACAGCAGGAGGUUCUCGGCGGCUGAAGCGGCUCACCUGAACCAGGCCCUCCAGCCACACCUGGUUGGCCUGCAUCUCCUUCUCAGCGGCCUCGUGCCUCUUCAGCUUGGGGAGGACGUUGGUGGGAUCCCGGUAGGACUCGUCCUCCGCCACCUUGAACUUCUCCUCUAUCCAGAGCAGCAGCUCGUCGGCGUCCCUCUGGAACUCCUGCAGGAAGUGGAGACCGAUGCUCAGUCUGUCGUCUUACAUCGUGUUUGAAAUGAAUGAGGAACGAAGUAAUGAAGAUGAGAUUAUUACUGGCCUCCUGAGAACUUUUUCUCCUCUUUCAAACUGGAGUAUUUGAGUAAACGCUGCGGGUAAAGUCCUCGAGCCUCCGACCCGGCGCUUCGAUCCCCAGAACACAAACCUGAUAUCUCUUGGAGUCCAGCAGCAGACUCCUCCUCUUCCUGCUGCUCUCCUGCAGCUUCCUGCUCCUCCUCUGGACGCUGUCGCUCCGCUCCUCGAUGCUUCAGCACAACAAAACAAGCACACACAACGAUGACCUCACUUCCUGUCGGACCAGACGGGUCGCCAGCGCCUCCUCCUCCGCGCCGCCUCUCUCACCGCGUGGCGGCGUGGUGCCGCCGGCGGACGAGCUCCCGGCUGCGUUGGGCGAACCGAUCCACCCGAUGGUCCAAAACCUUCAGGAGACCCUCCAGCUCGUCCUGUCGGCCCAGCAGAGCGUAGACCCCCUCCGCCGAGUCCUGAACCGACGCACGCAUGGUCAUCACAAGCACGGUGAAUAUAUCUACAAACGUAUACGGCUGUGAACCGCCUCUCACCCCGACGUCUUCAACCCUCAGACGGGUCUCGUGCCCCGACAGCGCCGCCUCGAUGCGGUCUCCCUCCUGGUUCAGCCUCUGGAGCUCCGCCCCUUCCUCCAGGCGCGCCCCCCUGCUGGCCCACAGCGCGUCCAGUUUGGACCAAUCGGCUUCCAGCUUCUCCAGGGUGCUCCGGACGUCGACACCCCCUGUGGUCCCGUCCGAUGAGCCCCUCCCGAGGGACCUCCCCAACUCCUCCGUCUCCUUCCACCUGAGGAGAGGACACGUGGUCAGCGUGGCGACCUCGCUCCCCGGGGGGGAGGAGGCCCUCGUCUCCCACCUGCUCCUCUGCUCCUCCAUCUCCAACCGGAGCUCCCGGUGCUGCUCCAGCAGAGCGAGGGCCGAGGUCACGUCGGAGGCCUCCUCCUCCUGCAGGAGGCGCUCCUGAGUCGAGGCGGCCCAGUGAUGCAGCAUCUUGGCCUGCAGCUGGAAGCCCUGCAGGCUGCGCGCCGCCUCCAGGAGGCGCCGUCUGUCCGCGGCCUGCAGCUUCAGCUGGUCCCCAACCAGAGAAGACGGGUUCACAUUCAUGAAAAGACACUCUGAUGCUUUAUGUUCUAUGUGUACGAAAAACAACUUCCUGCUGUUACAUGAGAGCAAAUGUGUCGAUUCAUCAUCAUUUAACACGGCUGCCUGUCUUAUUUUAACACUUAUUUAUUCACUGACGAUCCAGUUGAAAGCCAGACCUGCUGGAGCAGAGCCUCCAGACCCCGGACCUCCUCCCCGAUGGCGGCGGCCUCUGCUGGACUGCAGUCCUGCUUCCUAAGACAGAAGACAGCAGCUGAUGGUUUUCUGUCCUUCACUAACAGGAAACAGCUGUUUCCUUAAAUUAAGUGAAAUAUUAAGUGAAAAGGUCAUUUAGAAAUAAAUACUGGAGAUACACUUCUGAAGUACUUUAACUGCCAUGGAAAUGAAUAUAAUACUAUGUUCUACUGUCUACCAUGUUAAAUCUUUCAACUAUCUUUUGAAUCCUUUGAGAAAAUGUUAAAAUUGAAAAAAGCCGGUUUAAAUGUUUACCUAUUUUCUUUCUACUGAGGUGAGAAGUUUUUAGUAUUUAGAAGAAUAACAUUUAUUUGAUGAUGAUAUCUUUCAUUAAACUGGAACCACUGAGCCCGUACUUGGUGGCCUCGCCCCUCAGGUAAGCGAUCUUGGCCUCCAGGGCCUGGAUGUCUCUGAGGGUCUGGUUCUGGUUCUUCUCCUCUGAAGCCAGCUGCAGGGGUCCGCGGUGGUGGUCCACCACGUCCAGGUCCACCACGUCCAGGUCCGCCAGCCGACCCCUCAGCUGGGCUUCAGCCUCCCGGCAGCUCUGCAGGAAGGAGUGAACGUCGGCUGUGCUGAGCAGCUCGUGGCCCUUCUGGUCCUUCAGCCGCUGGAUCCGGUUCCACCUGAUGCCCCACGCAAGGUUAGCGUUAAUAGGGGCGGAACCACGUGGAAUAAUAACCAACGCUAGCGCCACGCCGCUACCUGUCGGAGACCCUCCGCUGCCGGUCCUGGAUCUCCCUCCGGCUGCUGUGCCGGCUCGUCACCAGCUCCUCCGCCACUCGGACGAUGUCAUCCAGCUGGCCACGCCCACUCGCCAGCUCAGUCAGGAAGUUCUGCACCAAACGGCGAACAGAGACUUUUUGUGUGGUUUCACUAUUCUAACAAUCAGGUUUUCCUUUCAAUUUUAAGAAGCUGUGGCGAAGUCGCUUUGGAUAAAAGCGUUAGCUAAAUGACAUGUGAUGUAAUUCAGUUUCACUACAAUAUUGAAAAGCUUUCUUAUAAUCAAUGGUUCUCAUUGUCUCAUUGUUCAUCAUUUUGAAUUUACGUGGUUGUCUGACAAAAAUAAAACUAUUUGGAUCCUCGUUUCCCAAGAACUUCGACAUUCCCCCAGAAGCUUCGUGUUGCUCCUCACCUCGUACUUGGCCUGAGCGGCUGCCAGGGAGUCGGCGUCGGGGCUGAAGGCGUCCAGGACGUUCUCCUUAUCCUCCAUCCACGCCUCGAACUCCUGCACGCCGCUCUGGAACCGGUGCAGACGCAGCGCCUCCUGCAGGCUCCUCGUCUUCGUCUGCCAGAAACAAAACCACAAAACUCAAAUACUAUUUUUUCAAGUAUUUGCCACGGACAACCAGCGUUUCCCACGCUGGCCCCGCCCCCUCUUACCGUGAGCAGGUGGAGCAGAGCGCCAUAGUCCCGGUCCAGCGCGGCCUGCGUGCUCUCCACCGCCUCCCUACGGUACUGCGGGUCCGGCAGCAACGGCGUCUGGAUCUCGGCCGUGACGCGGCGCAUUGAGCGGCUGCGCCUCGGCCGGUUCGGUCUCCCGCCCGUCGAGGUGGGCGGAGCCUGAGCGUGGCGAGGGGGAAAGUUAUUCAUCACCGAUAUGAAAAGGACCCAUACGGGCAGAAGGUCUCAAGAGGAGUCGGGAUGUCACGAGGGGCCGAGACGAGGCUGACGUGGGGAAAACGAGGAGAUUCUUGUUGACACGGAAACAGGAGAUGCUGCAUUGUGGAAAACUGUUAUGUACAGAAGGAAAGCUAGUUACCGUUAGCUUAUAGUUAACGUUAGCUGCUAGUUAACGUUAGCUGCUAAUAAAUGUUAGCUGCUAGUUUCCGUUAGCUUGAAGUUAACGUUAGCUGCUAGUUACGUUAACUAAUUGUUAACGUUAGCUGCUAAUAAAUGUUAGCUGAUAGUUGCCAUUAGCUUAAAGUUAACGUUAGCUUCGAGCGGCGCGGUCCUGCUAGGCUAAAAUAAACAAUUUGCGUUGAAGAUCUACUCGGUAAGAAUGUUUCUUCUGCUCGGGUAGAUUAGAAUGUCAUCGUGUAACAAAUCUUUUUAACUAGUUCAGUUUUUCGGUGGCCGGCGCUUACAGCAACCUCCCCGAUGUUGGGACAUCCCGCCUGGAGACCGUAAAGGUGAUUAUUGGUGAUCGAUACGUACGGGGGCUGGCAGCAGGCUCAGGUAGCUCCUGGGGACGAGCUGCUGGUGUCCUCGGGCGUCUCUGGCCAGGAGUCGGUCUCCGUCCGGCUCGCUGCCGACGAUGCGAACGACCUCGUCGCGAUCCCACGGAAACUGACCUGCACGACCAGUCGGUUCAGUUCAGUGAAAUAACACACAGAAAAGAACCUGUUUGUCUAUUUUAAUGAACCAUUUUCUUUCUUAAAUAUCCUCGACGUGAAAUUAUUUUCCUACCAGACAUAAAAAGAAAAUCUAUUCCAAGAUGAUAUCUAACUAGUCCACUCAAAUCCUACUGGUUAUUUGAAGAAACUAGAUAUCAUUCCUUUAAGAGUACUUACUGAUUACUCAUUAAACAAAUAAUAUCAGUAUAAUAAAACACUGCCGAAACUAGCUGAUGCCUGAUGUUCGUUUCCCAUCAUGCCUUGCGGCAGAGCUGUACCUCUGCUGUAUCUGAAGCGGAGCUUGGCCUCGCCG